ensembl:antisense Gm13389 predicted gene 13389
AUCUGCUUUCCCGCACAAGAGGACCCAGGACGCCAUGCAUGAACAGAGGUCUCCAAACAGUCGGGAGAUCUGGGGAGAGUGUAGAGGGAAGAGUUACUCAGGCUCUGCUACACACAAUCCUGACUGGUGCAUCCUAGACUAUGGAAACACAGAAAGGAUAGACAACUGCCAUUCCCAUUUCUACACAUCACUAAGACACGGCAAACCACUUGACAAAGAUCAAGUCCCGAAACAAGAGCCUCAUCUUAAGGACAACUCCAUCAUCCCAGAUCUUUGCUUCAUUACACGAUAUGAAAAUCACCAAGUGGACAUAUGAGAAGGAAUGACCUUGCCAGGGAAUGCUACUGUAUGAAAUGCAACAUGCUCCUUUGAAGUGGGAAAAGUUCAUGUAAAUGAACUUGGAACUGGAGAGACCUUGAGGAAAUAGACUGUGACCUUCUUCCCCUUGUGGCUUGUGGGAGUGUCAGAGCAGAAGGCUCUUGACCUCCCUGUAGCUCUCUUUGCCCUGUAGUUAAAUGGAGCCACCAACUGCUAAUUUAUUUUAAAGCACGUGAAGAGCCUGUGAAACUGGGUGUGUUUGGUCAGUGCAAAUAUUAAUAAAAAGUGAAUGGUCGCAUGGACAUCUGCUGUGAGUUUGU